AGCAGUGGGGAAUAUUGGACAAUGGGCGAAAGCCUGAUCCAGCCAUGCCGCGUGUGUGAAGAAGGUCCUCGGAUUGUAAAGCACUUUAAGUUGGGAGGAAGGGCAUUAACCUAAUACGUUAGUGUUUUGACGUUACCGACAGAAUAAGCACCGGCUAACUCUGUGCCAGCAGCCGCGGUAAUACAGAGGGUGCAAGCGUUAAUCGGAAUUACUGGGCGUAAAGCGCGCGUAGGUGGUUUGUUAAGUUGGAUGUGAAAUCCCCGGGCUCAACCUGGGAACUGCAUUCAAAACUGACUGACUAGAGUAUGGUAGAGGGUGGUGGAAUUUCCUGUGUAGCGGUGAAAUGCGUAGAUAUAGGAAGGAACACCAGUGGCGAAGGCGACCACCUGGGCUCAUACUGACACUGAGG
rnacentral:rRNA from 1 species